rnacentral:rRNA from 1 species
CCUACGGGGAGCAGCAGUGAGGAAUAUUGGUCAAUGGACGAGAGUCUGAACCAGCCAAGUAGCGUGAAGGAUGACUGCCCUAUGGGUUGUAAACUUCUUUUAUAUGGGAAUAAAACGUUCCACGUGUGUGAUUUUGUAUGUACCAUAUGAAUAAGUAUCGGCUAACUCCGUGCCAGCAGCCGCGGUAAUACGGAGGAUCCGAGCGUUAUCCGGUUUUAUUGGGUUUAACGGGAGCGUAGGUGGAUUGUUAAGUCAGUUGUGAAAGUUUGCGGCUCAACCGUAAAAUUGCAGUUGAAACUGGCAGUCUUGAGUACAGUAGAGGUGGGCGGAAUUCGUGGUGUAGCGGUGAAAUGCUUAGAUAUCACGAAGAACUCCGAUUGCGAAGGCAGUUCACUGGACUGCAACUGACACUGAGGCUCGAAAGUGUGGGUAUCAAACAGGAUUAGAUACCCGAGUAGU